rnacentral:rRNA from 1 species
AUUGAACGCUGGCGGAAUGCUUUACACAUGCAAGUCGAACGGUAGAGGGGGCAACCCCUCGAGAGUGGCGACCGGGUGAGUAAUAUAUCGGAACGUGCCCAGUCGUGGGGGAUAACGUAGCGAAAGUUACGCUAAUACCGCAUACGAUCUAAGGAUGAAAGCGGGGGAUCACAAGAACUCGAGCGAUUGGAGCGGGCGAUAUCAGAUUAGGUAGUUGGUGGGGGAGAGGCUCAACAAGCCAACGAUCUGUAGCUGGUCUGAGAGGACGACCAGCCACACUGGAACUGGGACACGGUCCAGACUCCUACGAGAGGCAGCAGUGCGGAAUUUUGGACAAUGGACGCAAGUCUGAUCCAGCCAUUCCGCGUGCAGGAUGAAGGCGCUCGGGUUGUAAACUGCUUUUGUACGGAACGAAAAGGUCUCUCUUAAUACGGGGGGCUCAUGACGGUACCGUAAGAAUAAGCACCGGCUAACUACGUGCCAGCAGCCGCAGUAA